rnacentral:lncRNA from 1 species
CUGCUGUCACCUCUCCUACCUCCUGCCUGGCUGCUUUCAUCUUCCUCAGCAUGAAGACUUGGGAAAGGCAGAGGAUUUGGCUAAAAGUGCCAGGGUUAUCCCCCUCAGCUCCAGUGAGGAGCAAAUGAGGUUGCAUCCAAGUUUCAUUGCAUUCAGAGGCUGGGCUUCCUGGGGAGAGGUCAGAAAGAUGAGGAGGGAUCUUCAGCAAGCUCAUGGGAGGGGCCCCAAAGACCAUGGGAAAGACACCUGUUCGUGGGCACAGUCAGUGAAGAGGACAUUUACAUGAAGAAAGCAAGGAAGGAGGAGAGCUAACACUCACCUGGUGCUUGCAGUGAGAUGCUGAAAACGGCUUUUGGACUUGGCAGUGUUAUUAUUCUCACUUGUCAAAUGAAGAAGUUUAGCAGAAAAGGACCUAGAGAGUAGGAGGUGGAGCCAGGUCCUGAAACCUAGAGGGCUGGCUGGAGAAUUUAGAAC